rnacentral:lncRNA from 1 species
UGAUCUGACAGGAGGUGGAGCUUAGGUGGUAAAGCUGGCUGUCUCGCCACUCACCUCCUGCUAUGCAGCCUGGUUCCUAGCAGGCUACUUACAAGUCCACACCCCUAUUAUAAAGUAUAAUUGAGCAGCAACAUCAUGGAAUCAUGGAACAAUACUUGACUUUCUAGGGGGAAGUGUGAAGGAGUGAAGAGGACAGAGAUGGGGUUUCACCAUGUUGUCCAGGCUGGUCUCGAACUCCUAAGCUGAAGCAACAUGCCUGCCUAGGCCUCCCGAAGUGCUGAGAUUACAAGAAUGAGCCACCACACCCAGCCAAGGAUUUUGACUCUUAUCCUAUGAAUAAUGAGAAGCUGCUGGAGUGUUUUAAACUAGCAAGAAAACUAACAAAGUUUGCAUGUUGGAAAAUGUGCUUGGCAAUAAGAUUUUAUACAUGACAAAUGUUCAUUUUGGAUUGUAAAUAAAGACUGAGGAAGAAGCAGCCCAUAGCAUCUUGGUAGUUACAACAGAUGGCGUUAACCACGUGGGAAUGCUUGGGAUUCUUCCGUUUCC